rnacentral:rRNA from 1 species
AGUCGACGGCAGCACGGGGGCAACCCUGGUGGCGAGUGGCGAACGGGUGAGUAAUACAUCGGAACGUGCCCUGUCGUGGGGGAUAACUAGUCGAAAGAUUAGCUAAUACCGCAUACGACCUGAGGGUGAAAGCGGGGGACCGUAAGGCCUCUCGCGACAGGAGCGGCCGAUGUCUGAUUAGCUAGUUGGUGGGGUAAAAGCCUACCAAGGCGACAAUCAGUAGCUGGUCUGAGAGGACGAUCAGCCACACUGGGACUGAGACACGGCCCAGACUCCUACGGGAGGCAGCAGUGGGGAAUUUUGGACAAUGGGGGCAACCCUGAUCCACCAAUGCCGCGUGUGUGAAAAAAGCCUUCGGGUUGUAAAGCACUUUUGUCCGGAAAGAAAUGGCUCUGGUUAAUACCCGGGGUC